rnacentral:lncRNA from 1 species
AAAAUGAACAAAGAAGAAUUUAUAAUAGAUGAAAAAAUAUAUGAAAACCACGAAGGAUCAAAAAUAAAAAUAGUAUUUUCUAAUCUAGGAAUAAGAUAUAAGAAAAUAGGUGAACAUUUAUAUCUAAUGUUAGAAAAAGAAGAACUAAAAUUAGAAGAUAAAUUAACAGCAACGAUAAGAAUAGAAAGAGAAAAUGAAGAGAUAGAUAGGAAAAAAGAAAUAGAAAAAAUAAAACAACAAACUACGGAAGAAAUACGAAAAAUAGAAGAAACUAAAAAUAGUAGGAUUGCUGAAUUAGAAAAAGAACUACAAAU